rnacentral:rRNA from 1 species
UACGAAGGGGGCUAGCGUUGUUCGGAAUUACUGGGCGUAAAGCGCACGUAGGCGGAUAUUUAAGUCAGGGGUGAAAUCCCGGGGCUCAACCCCGGAACUGCCUUUGAUACUGGGUAUCUCGAGUCCGGAAGAGGUGAGUGGAAUUCCGAGUGUAGAGGUGAAAUUCGUAGAUAUUCGGAGGAACACCAGUGGCGAAGGCGGCUCACUGGUCCGGUACUGACGCUGAGGUGCGAAAGCGUGGGGAGCAAACAGG